AGAACACGAAACUUUGCAUUAAAUGGGGAAGGAAAAGUUAGAUGCCUUCCUAGACCGAGCUAUUGGAUUUAAUUCUGCGGGAAUUCGAGUUUUCAUACAUCGCCGAUUCUUCUUCCCGUUCCCGAAAUGUUGAAUCUCAUGCGAAUAGCAACACAAAGAUCUUAUUUGCAUCAGAUUAUUUAACAUAUAUUCUUGCUGUUGAUUGUAAUAAAUUUGAAGGUAAUUUUUGAAGUGUAACAAUUGCAGGGAACAAAUUAGUUUUUACUUUGCGUGAAAGUAAACGGAUUCGAUGGAUUGGAGUGUUUACACCAACACCAUAUCCAACAGCGGAAGAUCUUCUUGGCGUCAGAAAUACUUUGAUUGGUUUGAAUGUGACAUCGCCUCUAAAUUUUCUCAAUGCCACGGCCGAAAAUUGGAUUGUUUGCUUAAAUAUUAUAUCCACUCAUCCUAUUAUAGAACGA